rnacentral:rRNA from 1 species
UACGUAGGGACCAAGCGUUGUUCGGAUUUACUGGGCGUAAAGGGCGCGUAGGCGGCAUGACAAGUCACUUGUGAAAUCCCCCGGCUUAACCUGGGAACUGCGUCUGAUACUGGAAGGCUUGAGUGCGGGAGAGGGAUGUGGAAUUCCAGGUGUAGCGGUGAAAUGCGUAGAUAUCUGGAGGAACAUCGGUGGCGAAGGCGGCAUCCUGGACCGGUAUUGACGCUGAGGCGCGAAAGCCAGGGGAGCAAACGGG